CCUACGGGAGGCAGCAGUGAGGAAUAUUGCGCAAUGGGCGAAAGCCUGACGCAGCGACGCUGCGUGGACGAUGAAGGCCUUCGGGUUGUAAAGUCCUGUCAGGAGGGACGAAGUGGCUUCGGCCAUGACGGUACCUCGGUAGGAAGCUCCGGCUAACUACGUGCCAGCAGCCGCGGUAAGACGUAGGGGGCUAGCGUUGUCCGGAAUCACUGGGCGUAAAGAGCUCGUAGGCGGCCUGUUAAGUCGGGUGUAAAAGCCCUCGGCUCAACCGGGGAAUUGCACUCGAUACUGGCAGGCUAGAGUCUAGUAGAGGGAAGUGAAAUUCCCGGUGUAGCGGUGAAAUGCGCAGAUAUCGGGAAGAACACCGGUGGCGAAGGCGGCUUCCUGGGCUAUGACUGACGCUGAGGAGCGAAAGCUAGGGGAGCGAACAGGAUUAGAUCCCCGGGUAGU
rnacentral:rRNA from 1 species